CUUGCCAACCAUAUUUAGGCAAAUGGUUGGGGCCAUGCCACGCCCACGCAUCAUCGUAGCUGUAACCGUACGAUGAUGCAGGAACUGGCCCGGCCGUCCGCUGAGACAGUGGACGACGGCUGUGGUACCGCGUCGGCAAGCGCUGACCACACGAGGCUCAUCUACUAAACACGCCGGCGGCACACAGGUCUGGGAAGGUUUCGUGCGAGCGUGACGUUUGUUGAGAAAUGAUAUAUCCCUUUAAGUCAUCCUUUGGGUUGUAAAGAUAUCUCUUGGGUUUGCUAUUUCAAAGCACUCCUUUGUAUCUAUAUAAACAAAGCAUCCCAUCAAUAAAGAGUACAUAGUUUUCAUUCUCGUCAUUUAUCUCUCGCUUUCGCUCCAUACUCAAACACGUUAUCAACACUUUCGCUCUCACCAAUCUAGAGUUGAAGAACGAGGAUUGGUGGAAUACGCUGACGUAAUUGUCCCUGCUCGAUUGCCCCAUCCCGCUGUAAGUACCGAAGGAAAGGACAAGAGCCUGGUACAA
rnacentral:lncRNA from 7 species